AAGGCAUAUAAUAAUAUGCCAUAAUCUGGUUAAGACAUUCCGGGUCAAAAUGAUGCCUGAUGUUGGCCAACGUGACAAGUAAAUUUUGCUGCAUGGUACUGUACAUACGGCAAUGGGGAGUUUUCGGAACUAAACCGCUAGAUGUCGUUGCUGCUCAUCUAACUGUAGGAAAGAGAGCUAAAAUAUUGAUGUAGUAAAUCCCAGGUGCGUAAAGAUGCAUAGCACAUUGAUCAUCACGAUACUUUUGAAAUGAUGUAUCGACUUUUCAAUAUACGGUGUCAUAUUGGAUAAGCACUCCCCCAAAAUAAGUACUCCCCAGUACAAAUUCAUUAUGGUAAAGGUAAUCCCCGUCAUUAUUCCAUAUGGUAAAUGUACUCUCUCACGUGAAAUAAGUACUCCCACACUUAGGAAGGAUGAGGAGGUAAUGAGACAUAGAAACGAAUUUCGUGAAUUCAAUUCCAAUUCGCCUAUCCUCUGUGGACUCGAACGUGCUCGUCUACGCAUUUGAAACUGAGAUCGCGGAACGAAACCGACCGAGCCACAAAGGUAAUUGAACUUUACAGUUUGCUACCAGUGUCCUGAGUGUUGUUGACAAUGCCGCACGUGCCAUUUGACUUCAUAUAUUAGUAUCUUCUUGAGGGUGUGUGGCCCGCUACUGUAUGUACCAAAGGGGAAAAAGCCAACCUCCGCAAGGCAUGUAGACCCUUUGCUGUUAAGGGUGAAGAACUAUUCUACAAGAAGGUGAAAAAUGACUGGAGAGAAAGUGGAGCUGCUGUUACGUGUCCUCUCAACAAAGACUGAACAACAACGAGCAAUUCGAUGUGCACACGAAGGCCUUGGUACCAGUAUUGAAAGUAAAAGUAUGAGUGGACAUCGGGGAAUAACAGCAAAGAAAAAAAAAAGCCAUGUGCAACACGUUGAAGAACAUCUGGGCAAGAUGACAACGACCAACGAAUGGGCAACAGAUGUUGAGCUAUUUGCAGCGGCUUCACUACUUCAAACAGACAUAAUGCUGUGGUUGCAGAGAGGAGAUUGGGCCCUGUUUGGACGAAAUGUCUUGGAAAAGUCAUGUAGUCUCAGCGAUUCGGACCUUUGUGAUAAACGUGUUAUUUACCUGCAACAUACCAACAGUAACCAUUUUGAUUAUGUCAAAGGAAUUAUGUAUAUGUAGAUCGUAAAUAUAAUUGGAUAUUAUUGAUCAUCUGCAGAGGGACAAAUAUACAAUUUAAGAUAA